AGCGCUGAUUCUGUCAGGCGACAUGCCUUUCCUUCAGCAGAGAAGGAAGAGACGGGAGGCGGCCCAAAGCAACAGGAAAAGAUGGGGAGGGAUGGAGACACCGAGGCAGGAAACAGAGGUGUCGCAGGAGUCCUGAGAUCUGGAGGCUGACAGGUGCUGGCUAUCUGGUCAGCUACGAUGCAGUAAAUGGGAGGACUGCCAGCAUAUCAGCGGCUGACUGUUUUGCCCCAGUGGUAUUGCUCUAUGCCUCGCUACCUUGGUUUAGAAGAAUCUUUGGAAUUCCCAAGGACUGUGAACUUCACCGGACAUCUUACCUGGCUGGCAGCCCAAACGGAUCGGUGUACUGCUUCAGCCGCGAACCCUGUCCACCCCACCUCAAAGGAUUAUUUCCCUGGCUCCUGCCGGCACCAUUCUCUGGAUCAGCUCUCAGUCCUGACGCGCCCUCUCCCUGGCGGAUACCGACACCCCAUCAGUGAGCAUUACCUGCAUCUACUGCAACUGUCCCUAUUUACUAUUACUUACCCUUGUUCCUCCUCAUCACAGCCCAGCCCGGCUUACAUGG